CCAGACUCCUACGGGAGGCAGCAGUGGGGAAUAUUGCACAAUGGGGGGAACCCUGAUGCAGCGACGCCGCGUGAGUGAAGAAGUAUUUCGGUAUGUAAAGCUCUAUCAGCAGGGAAGAAAAUGACGGUACCUGACUAAGAAGCCCCGGCUAACUACGUGCCAGCAGCCGCGGUAAUACGUAGGGGGCAAGCGUUAUCCGGAUUUACUGGGUGUAAAGGGAGCGUAGACGGCGAUGCAAGUCAGAAGUGAAAGCCCGCGGCUCAACUGCGGGACUGCUUUUGAAACUGUAUAGCUUGAGUGCAGGAGAGGUAAGCGGAAUUCCUAGUGUAGCGGUGAAAUGCGUAGAUAUUAGGAGGAACACCAGUGGCGAAGGCGGCUUACUGGACUGUAACUGACGUUGAGGCUCGAAAGCGUGGGGAGCAAACAGGAUUAGAUACCCUAGUA
rnacentral:rRNA from 1 species